GGAGAGAUGGCCGAGUGGUUAAAGGCAUCAGACUGUAAAUCUGACGACGCAAGUCUACGUAGGUUCGAAUCCUACUCUCUCCACCA
rnacentral:tRNA from 1 species